CCCCCAGAGCCGGCGACGCAUCUUUCAAAUGUCUGCUUAUCAACUGUCGAUGGUAGGUUCUGCGCUACCAUGGUUGUAACGGGUAACGGGGAAUCAGGGUUCGAUUCCGGAGAGGGAGCUUGAGAAACGGCUACCACAUCCAAGGAAGGCAGCAGGCGCGCAAAUUACCCACUCCCGGCACGGGGAGGUAGUGACGAAAAAUAACGAUACGGGACUCUUCCGAGGCCCCGUAAUCGGAAUGAGUACACUUUAAAUCCUUUAACGAGUAUCAAUUGGAGGGCAAGUCUGGUGCCAGCAGCCGCGGUAAUUCCAGCUCCAAUAGCGUAUAUUAAAGUUGUUGCGGUUAAAAAGCUCGUAGUCGGACUUGUGUCCCACGCUGCCGGUUCACCGCUCGUCGGUGUCUAACUGGCAUGCACGUGUGGACGUCCUGCCGGUGGCCCGAUCCGGCGCGGGUCUCGCACCUGUCGUCCGGGGAAGGCCUAUCAUACCCGUCGCGGKGCUCUUAACCGAGUGUCUCGAUGGGCCGGCACGUUUACUUUGAACAAAUUAGAGUGCUUAAAGCAGGCAGCAUCCGCCUGAAUACCGAGUGCAUGGAAUAAUGGAAUAGGACCUCGGUUCUAUUUUGUUGGUUUUCGGAAUCCCCGAGGUAAUGAUCAAUAGGGACAGACGGGGGCAUUCGUAUUGCGACCUUGAAGGUGAAAUUCUUGGAUCGUCACAGAYGGACCGAAGYGAAUGCAUUKGCCAGAAUGUUUUYUCYGUCAAGAACGAAGUUAGAGGUUCGAAGGCGAUCAGAUACCGCCYUACUUCUAACCAUAAASCCASCCACAUCCGSGAAGUUCYUCCGAUGACUCGGCGGGCGGSUUCCGGGAAACCAAASYUUUGGGUUCCGGGGGAAGUAUGGUUGCAAAGCUGAAACUUAAAGGAAUUGACGGAAGGGCACCACCAGGAGUGGAGCCUGCGGCUUAAUUUGACUCAACACGGGAAACCUCACCAGGCCCGGACACCGGGAGGAUUGACAGAUUGAGAGCUCUUUCUUGAUUCGGUGGGUGGUGGUGCAUGGCCGUUCUUAGUUGGUGGAGCGAUUUGUCUGGUUAAUUCCGAUAACGAACGAGACUCUAGCCUGCUAACUAGUCGCUUCCGGUAUCCUUGUGCUACCGGCGACUCCUGAUCUUCUUAGAGGGACAGGCGGCUCCUAGCCGCACGAGAUUGAGCAAUAACAGGUCUGUGAUGCCCUUAGAUGUUCUGGGCCGCACGCGCGCUACACUGAAGGAAUCAGCGUGUCCUCCCUGGCCGAAAGGUCCGGGUAACCCGCUGAACCUCCUUCGUGCUAGGGAUUGGGGCUUGCAAUUGUUCCCCAUGAACGAGGAAUUCCCAGUAAGCGCGAGUCAUAAGCUCGCGUUGAUUACGUCCCUGCCCUUUGUACACACCGCCCGUCGCUACUACCGAUUGAAUGAUUUAGUGAGGUCUUCGGACCGGUGGGCGAGGGGGUUCUCCUCCUCGAUUCCACCGGGAAGAUGCCCAAACUUGAUCAUUUAGAGGAAGUAAAAGUCGUAACAAGGU
rnacentral:rRNA from 1 species